GCGCAAGGCGCAACUAACAUUUAUGGGCGUGUCCAAACCCAUUUUGCUAUUCGAACGCGGAAAAACAGGCUUUGCGCCAGAAGAAGGCUGUCCUCCCUUAAUUAGUCAGAGGCGUGUUUGAGUGUAACCUGCAAUGAAUCAAACGGAAUGGCACGUCACCUCACCUAUAAAAGGCAGCGGCCCAUGAUGUACUGCGGAUUGCUAUUACAAUGGUGUGUUUGCCCGGAUCACAAACCACGUUCGGUGAGUCAAGGGAAGAGCACAUGGACGUAAGGCGAUGCUCCCUGACCAUGCAACCUGCAGGGACCAAGCCCCAUGAUCCAGAGACACUCCGGUCCGCAUCUGCUGUAAUCCUCAAGAGGGACCGGUGUAUUCAUCGGUCCCAGGUGUUACUGCUUGGCCGGUUCCUAGGGGUGACCUUCUCUCUGCAUGGAUGUCAUUGCACUUCUGAUCCUUUCUACGUUCCCGCUUUUGGUAGAACAUUUCCUCUUCCUGCCAUUUCAUUGACAAUUCAGCUGAGAACUGAAUGCAGCAGGAGCUGGAAUAUUCUGCAGGUCUGAAGCGGGUUGUCUAGGGAGUUGCACUGAGCAUCUAUUAUAUAAGCCUAUCCCAAACUUUUGCUGUGCAGCAAUCGGACACCUUCCAGGAGGACUCCAUACCUAAGGGUCCAGCAGGAGAAUCGUGGGCUUGUGGAACAGCAACAGAAUAGAUGGAGGACACACGGGAUGCAUUUUGUGACCCUAGGGGGCUGCUUGGGACAGAUCUACGUCUAUGAGUGUGUUACAGGUACCUCUGUGUUCUGCUCCCCACAGCUCACGUGAAGAUGAAGCAAGACGAGGGAGUCCCCUCUGAUUAAUUUGGUCCUUGGAGCGUGUAUCUCGUGUCUGACACUGCCUGCGUGACUUUUGCUCUCUUCAGCAUUGGAAAGGCUCGUGGGUCGACCCCCGCAGGCCAGUUUAAAUCGUUUCCUUCCUUUAAUCCUUUGCUCUCUGCGGCAGAUCUCAUGCUUGGUGUCUAACACGUCUCCUGGAUACCCUAAGAUCUCAGCUCAGGAUUGAUUAUAGGUCCACAGAUCCCACCUUUGACACUGUCGACUUGUCCUCUUUCUGCCUUCAUAGGCACGGCAGCAAUCAGCCAUUCCUCCAUGCUGAUAUAAUCCCGGAUCUGUUAAAAUCCAUCCCAUUAAUUCAUGUGACAGCAAAACGAUGUCGGCUUUAAGUUACCUUUUCAAUUUUAGUUCUAGACAGGGGAAGAAAGAAUUGUUAGGAUGGGAAACCCUCUGAGAUUUACUACAUAAUAGUAGUGUAAAAGAGUGUCUCUCUUGCCUGGAAGUUGGCCAUUAAUUAUUUGAAGUGUGGCAUGUCCGUAGACAUAGUACUUUAUUGAAGAUCCGGGAUAAAUUCCAAGCCAAUUAAAAUUUAAAGGCUUGGCUGUAAUUUGUAUUUGACAUUUGGAUUCGCCACCCAUCUCUUAGUUUUCAAUGGCCCUACGUUCAUCUGGGUAUCCCCUAAAGAAGCGUGAUCCACAAAGAGCAGGUGGACGAGUGUAACACCAGCCAGUUCAGCGAGGGCUGUGCCUGGCCAAUGACCCAGCGUCUCUCUGUAAGAAGGAAUGAAUACUUCAGUACUGGAUAAUUAAUUGUUCUUCUUCUGACAUUCUCUCCCUCCAUUAAAAUUUUUUUUGUUACAGUGAACACAUGAAGGAAAGCUAUGAAGUGGAAAGUAGUAAUUAAAGGCCCCUUUUAAUUAAUUUUUGAAGUGAAGUUACAAUAUAUACUAGCUUCUCAUUUGAAUCACUGAAUGAGCAGAUGUAAAUUUAUAUGCGGGGGAGAUAUGUUAUAUUACCCUGAUAUUAUCUAGAGUUGAAUUUACAGAUGCAUGACUCCAGUCUCGGUGAUGCCAAAUGACUGCAGUGUGUAUGGGGGCGUAGUGGAAAUGUAGAUAUAAAUUAUGUAGUAAGUUGUUACAAAUAUCUCCCAAUACACACAUCUAUGGAUGACUAAGUAAGACAUUCGGUAUAAGUAAUAAUUAAGUUCCACAGUGCAAUUGACCAAAAUGAUAUGACACACACACACACACACACACACACACACACACACACACUGUCCAUUCAGCCCUAACCGUUACUAACCAAACAAAAUACAGGUCUUUUGGCUUUUAAAUUUUUUUUGAUUGCAGUCUGAGGACCAGAAAAUAGUCCCCACCAUGUAAAAAUAACAUUUUUAUUACAUUGUGGAGACAUACAUAACCCACACACGCAUACAUGUAUAUCUUUUAGCUUACUGUUAAAAUAUCCCAGACCUUGACGCUCACUGUUUU